GGGGCACAUAUGUAUGGUGACUGACAAAGUACAACUGAAAUUUCUCAAUGUUAUAAACUAUUACGACCUCAGUUAAAAAAAAAAAACAGAAAAGUGUUAGUGAGGAUGGGGAGAAAUUGGAAUCCUUUGGCACUGUUGGUGGGAAUGUAAAAUGGUGCAGCCACUGUAGAAAAUAGUAUAGACGUUCCUCAAAACUUUAAAAAUAGAAUUACUACAUGAUUCAGCACUACUACUUCCAGGUAUAUAUCUAAAAGAAUUCAAGGUGGGAUCUUGAAGAGGUGUCUGUACCUUCAUGUUCAUUGCACAAUUAUUCACAAUAACCACAAGGUAGAAGCAAUGUCUAUGGAUGGAGGAAUGAAUAAAGAAAAUGUAGUAAAUGCGUACAUUGGAAUAAUAUCCAGCCUUAAAAAAGGAAAUUCUGUUACAUGCUGCAAAGUGAUUGAACGUUAAGGACAAGCUGAGUGAAAUAAGGCAGUCACAUAAGGACAAAUGCUAUGUGAUUCCACUUUGAAGUAUUUAAAGUAGUCAAAAUCAUAGAGACAGAAAGUUUUAAGGUAGUUUCCAAGGGCUGGGGAGAGGGAGAAAGUGUUUAAUAGUAUAGAGUUUCAGUUUUACAAGAUGAAAAAGUUCUAGAGAUCUCUUCAACAGCAAUGUGAAUAUACUUAAUACCACUUAAUUGGACACUUAAAAAUGGUUAAGAUGGUAAAUUUAAUGUUAUGUAUUUUUUCCACAAUUUAAAAAAAAAACCUCCCAACAAAGAAAAGCCCUGGACCAGGUGGCUUCACUGGUGAAUUCUGCCAAACAUUUAACGAACAACUAACACCAACCAUCUCAAACUUCCCAAAAAAAAUGAAGAGAGGGUACACUUCAUAACUUACUCUGUGAGGCCAGCAUUGCCCUCAAAUCAAAGCCAUACAAUGACACUACAAGAAAAAAAACCUACAAGCCAAUAUCCCUUAUAAAUAUUAAUGCAGAAAUCCUCAACAAAAUACUAGCCAACAGAAUUCAGCAGCAUAUUAAAAGGAUUAUUCACCAUGACAGAUUCCUGUAAGGCAAUGAUGAGUCAACAUACAAAAAUCAAUCAAUGUAAUGCAUCACAUUUACAGAAUGAAGGAUGAAAACCUCAUGUUUAUCUUAAUCAAUGCAGAAAAAGCAUUUGACAAAAUUCAACCUCAAAUUAUGAUAACAGGACUCAAACUAGGACUAGAAAGAAACUACAACACAGUAAAGGCAACUUGAAAACCCUAUAGUAAACAUCAUACUCAAGGGUGAAAGACUGAAAGCUUUUCCUUUUAAGAGCAGGAGGAAGGCAAGCAUGCCCACUCUUGCCACUUCUAUUUAACGUAGUUCUGGAAGGCUUAGCUAGAGCAGUUAGACAAGGAAGGGAAAUAAAAGAUAGACAAAUUGAGAAGGACAAAGUAAAAUUACCUUUGGAGAACUCUAAAUAUUUUAUACCAAAAAGAAAAAAACAAGAAUAAAUGAACUCAGCAAAGUUGAAGAAUACAAAAUCAAGACACAAAAAUCAGUUUCAAUUACAUUUCUAUGCACUAACAAUGAACAGUCCAAAAAGCAAAUUAAGAAAAUAAUUCCACUUAAAAUAGGAUCUAAAAGAAUAAAAUAUUUAGCAAUUAACCAAGGAAGGAAAACACUUGUACAUUGAAAACUACAAGACAUUGCUGAAAUAAAUUUAAAGACAAAUAAAUGUAAAGACAUCCUGUGUUCAAGCAUGGAAAGAUUCAAUACUGUUAAGAUGCCAGUACCACCCAAAGUAGUCUAUAGAUUCAAUGCAUCCCACAUUAAAAUGCCAAUGAUGUUUUUUGUAGAAAUAAGAAAAUCCAUCCUAGAGGGCUGGCCCCAUGGCCGAGUGGUUAAGUUGCACGCUCUGCUUCGGCAGCCCAGGGUUUUGCCGGUUCAAAUCCUGGGUGCAGACAUGGCACUGCUCAUCAAGCCACGCUGAGGCAGCGUCCCACAUGCCACAACUAGAAGGACACACAAUUAAAAUACACAACUAUGUACCCGAGGGGGCUUUGGGAGAAAAAGGAAAAAAUAAAAUCUUAAAAAAAGAAAAAAUCCAUACUAAAAUUCUAUGGAAUCUUAAGGGACCCAAAUAGGUAAAGUAAUCUUGGAAAAGAAGAAUGAAACUGGAGGACUUAACACUUCCUGACUUCAAAACGUAGUGCCAUGCUACAGGGAUCAAGGAGUGUGCUACUUACUGCCUUAGAGACAAUUACAUAUACCGAUGGAAUAGGAUAGAGACCCAGAUAAACCGUCACAUAUAUGGCCAAAUUACUUUCAAGAAGGAUCCCAAGACCAUUCAAUGGAGAAAGGACAUUUGGAGAAAGGACAAGAGAUGGUUUUGGGGAAACUGGGUAUCCACAUGGAAAAGAAUGAAAUUGGAACCCUUUCUUACACCAUAUAUUAAAAUUAACUCAAAAUGGAUCAGACCUAAACAUAAGAGCUAAAACUAUAAAAUUCCUAGAAGAAAACAUAGAAGAAAAUCUUCAGGACGUUGGAUUUAGCAAUGAUUUCUUGGGUAUGAGACCAAAAGCCCAGGCAAUAAAAGAAAAUUUGAAAAAUUGAACUUUAUCAAAAUUUAAAACUUUUACACCUAAAGACACCAUCAACAGAGUAAAAAGGCAACCCACAGAAUGGGAGAAUAUAUUUGCAAAUCACAUAUCUGCUAAGGGAUUUGUAUCCAGAAUACAUAAAGAAUUCCUAAAACUCAACAGUAAAAACCAAGCAACCCAAUUCAAAAAUGGGCAAAGGACUUAUAUAUAGUUAUUUCUCCAAAGAGACAUACAAAUAGCCAAUAAAUAAAUGGAAAGAUGCUCAAUAUCACCUAGUCACUAGGGAAAUGCAAAUGAAAACCAUAGUGAGAUACCACCUCACAUCCAUUAAUAUGAGUAUUAUUUAGGAAAAAAAGCAGAUGUUGGUGAGGAUGGAGAAAUUGGAACUGUUGUUCAUUGCUGAUGGGAAUAUAAAGUGGUGCAGCCACUGUGAAAGACAGUAAGACAGUUCCUCAAAAAAUUAAACAAUUAUCAUAGGAUCUGGUACUUCCACUUCUCAAUAUAUAUACAAAAGAAUUUAAAGCAGAAACUUGAACAGAUAUAUAGCCAUAGCAGCAUAUAUUCACAAUAGCCAAAAGGUGGAAACAACCGAAUGUCCAUUGAUAGAUGAAUGGAUACACACAAUGGUACAUACAUACAAUCAAAUAUUAUUUACCCUUAAAAAGAAUUAACUUUUGACACAUGCUAAAACAUGGAUAAACUUGGAAGACAUUAUGCUAAGUGGAGUAAGCCAGGCACAAAAGGACAACUAUUGCAUGAUCCCCCUUUAUGAGGUCCCUAGAACAGUCAAAUUCGUAGAGACAGAAAGUAAAACAAUGGUUACCAGGGACUAGGGUAAGGAGGAAUUGGAAAGUUAUUGUUUAAUGCGUACAGAGUUCAGUUUCGGAUGAUGGAACAGUUCUGGAUAUGGAUAAUGGUCAGGUUUGCACAACAAGAUGAAUGUUCUUAAUGCCACUGAAUGUAUACUUAAAAUGGUAGAUUUUAUGGUAUGUGUAUUUUACCACAUUAAAAAAAAAGAUAUGCAGACUCCAAGAGGUGUUCUACUGGGAGAACAUUAGCCAGAGAAAUAGUUUUCAGGGUAUAUUUUAAGUUAUGUGUAAGUUGUUGAGUGAAUUAAUAAGAUUCUUUAAUUUUUUUUCCCUUACAUCUUGGGAGAGAUCAGAGUGAGAGAUUGGAACAAGGGAGAGAAGGAAAACAAAACAAAAGAUAAUUUCAGGUUUCUAGGAGCAGACAGAGAAAAUUAAACAAAGGAAGGCACCAUUAACAAGGAGAGUCUCCUGAGGGUUUAGGACGCCCGUUUUAAGUAGGAGUGAGCGUGUUGGACCUUCUCCGCGUUGAGCCUGCAGUCGCCAUGGAGCUGUGUACAGGACCUGGGAAAGGAGCCGGUGCUACCCAGGCAGAAGGAGGCUCCCAGAGUGUGAAGCCAGCCAGGCAGGGCUAGGCCCAGGUAGGUGAUUGAGCUGCAGGUAAGACCUUCGGUCCUUCCACCAGAGCUGUUGGGCCAAGUCCUGGUGGCCACUGUGCUCCUCUGUGAGCCUUGCAGUGCUCAGACCUGACUGCCAAUUCCUUCCACUAGAGGGAGUUUUUGAAAACGGCCCCCAGAGGUAGUGCUUCUAAUCAUUUGCCUUUGCCUUCAUUCCUGUACCUCUCUGUUCCCUUUUCCAGAUUUCCAGUGUUCUUUCUAGAAGCCUUGUUGCCCACAUGCUGCACUUUCAGAGUGACAGCUAUGUCAACAUGCCCUUCAGUGUCUUUCCUGGGUAUAAACCUCACCUCAGUGUCUCUCCUGGAUAUAAAGCUUAUAAUGCCAAUGUUACAGGUUUUCUGCUUCCUCUAGACUCAGUGUUAUUCAGCGUGUUUUCUCUGAAAGAGUGUUUUAUAGUGCUCUUCAUAUCUGUUAGCUUAGAUCUGUGUGUACUCAUAAUUUAAAACACACCGUGUGUUUACGUCUUUUUCCUGAACCGUUGAGAGAGUUGCAGGCACGAUGGCCCCCAUCCCUAAAUACUUCAGUGUGUAUUUUCUAAAACUAAAUACAUUUUCUUCCAUAACCAGACGGAACUUAUUGGAAUCAGGAAAUUAACGUUGAUGAAGUACUAUUGUCUAAUCUACAGAAGUUAUUCAGAUUUUACAAAUUAUCCAACAAUGUCCAUUAGAGCAAAAGAAGCAGUAGAUGAUGUGUUGCAGUCAGCUGUCAUGAUGCUUGGUCUCCUUCGGUCUGUAACUUUCCUCAGUUUUUCUUUGCUUUUCAUGAUAUUGACAUUUUUGAAAGGUACAAGCCAGGUAUUUUGUAGCUGCUCCUUGAUUUGAAUUUGUCUAAUUUUCCCUUACUAUAAGUUAUACAUUUCUUGGGCAGGGGAAGUGGAGGACCACAGAAGUGCUGUGUUAUAGUAUCUUAUAUUUAUAUUCUCAUGUUUAUAUUGUUAUAUUUAUUUUCUUAUAUUUUAUAGCUACAUAAAGUAUAUAGGUACAUAUUAUAGACAUAUACAUAGGUGUGUUUUUAUAUCUUUCUGUUUUUUAAUCCUCUUAGGAUUUUGUCUUUUCUAAUUGAGGUUCUGAAAUUUCGUUGUAAAUUUCUUCAGGUUUUUUCCUCCUCCUCCUGCUGGAUACUAGGUGGCUCUUCCAAUUUCAGAAUGUCUUUAUUGUUGGAAAAGUACCAGCUAUAUUUUACAAAGAUGCCUCUCCUUCAUUCUUUUGCUUUUCUCUGAGAAUUCCUUUCAUUUGCAAGAAUGCUGAUGUAUUUGAUUUUAUUUGUACUGUCUGUUCUGUCAUUUCUAAAGUUUAGUGUGAGAGGAAGCCAUUCACAACCAGAAACUCUAUUUUUUUUUUUUUUUUUUGCAUGCCAUUAUGCUUCUCUAGUUUCCUUCCAUUUGUGGUCAUGUCAGUAAGUAAAAUGAUCCAAAGUUGACCCCGUUUCUACCAGUGUGAAAUAGCUUUGUGCACAGUGCUGGAAGCUAAAACGUACUAACCAUGGUCUUUGAAACUCUAAACAUUAUUAAUGUCCCUUUGAAAAAGAGCUUUUCCCCACAAGGGUGAAAGACAUGUUAAAUUGGUACUUCUCAACAGAUGUGUAGGGAGGUUGUUGGUAUAAAAACUAAGGUUUGGGAUCAGCGUGGAAAUAUUAGAAAUGAUGGGCCAGUAAACACUUCUAGGUUCUUCCGGUGAAUUCCAGCAGGAUAAAGUUUUUUUGCCCAGACACUACAGCAGAACAAGGGAAAGAACAGAGAAGAAGAGAUCCUGAAAUUCCAGUGCUGGAAUUCAUCCACUCAACCCGGUCAACUCCAUCUUGAAACUCUACCCUGUGGAUUCGUUUCAUGAAUGAUGACCCCAAGACCAAAGACCAGGGAAUCCUCAAAGAAGGAGAUGAAAUUCUCCAAGGACACGUGAUCAAGGACCCAGUAGAGAGGCGACGUGAAGAGCUGCCGUACCUGUGUGAGCUCGUGUCUGCACCCAGCUAAUGGGGAAUGGUGAAGCCACUAGAGGGAAAGUUUUAGGACAAAAAUGACGUUUUCUAUAGAAAGCAGCUGAAGCAUUUUAAGAGAUGGAUGAAAACAAGGGAGCUCUCGAGUAUAAUUGUGAAGGAGAUUCUUAAGCUAAAUCUAAGUGAUUAAAGAAAUUUUAUGACUAGAUUUCUGUAGUGCACCUUCAUCAGCAUGUGUGCUGUUUUAAUCUGAAAUAGGAGCUGAGAUCAUGGGGUUGGGUGACCCCUUACUUCGGACAGUCCCCUCCCACAGCUUCUCGCUUGUGAAUUUUGUCAGGCUCCACAAAUGGGGAGACGUCCAGUAAAUGACCCCACCACUUGAACAGAAAGCCCUUUGUGAUGGUCUUAAUCCACGGGGUGACCUCCUCCUGUUCCUAGGCUGCCCUGUCCAGGAGGACCCCCAUCUCCUCCCAGGUCAUGUAGCAGUAAUGUUGGACCCCCCUGGGGUCUAGGUUCACCAUGAGGUUUUUCCUCACAAACAGAAGAUAGCCAAUUUUAUGGUCCCGCCAGACAUUAUUCAAUGGACUCUUGUGGUAAAUUCGGGUCAUAAAAAUUAUAUCCUUUAUGGAAAGCUGUGACAAAAGUUGAUCUGUGUUAAUUCAAACACAAGGAAAAUACGUUGGAGAGAGAAUUCAAAUUCAUUCUUUUUUUCAUUAAAAAAAUAUAUACAGUGCAUCCACUGAGUGCCACUCACUCAUUUUUCACUGGGGAGACCAAAUUAAAGAAAGCACAGUUUUAUAGCCUUGAAAAUUCAUUUUGUUGUGCACCCAAUGGGAUAAUUAUAUGGACACAAUUGAAAUAUGAAAAGUGCUAUAAGUAACUGAUAAGCGUAUUUCUGUGGGGCACAUACACCCUGAUUUCAUAAACAAAAGUCGUAUUUUAUCUGUAAAUACCAUGUAAGGGAUUUCUGUGUUCAUAGAUUGUGAAUCGGGUUUUCAUAGGUUUCAUGAGAAGGCUCUACCUCUGAUUCUUAUCUAACUCAGCAUCACUUAUUAAGUAACAACCAAUGUUCAGAUUCUUCGCUUUCACCUAUCCUCAUGUUGUAAAAACAGAGAAUGCAUCAUAGAAAUCCACACACAAUUUUCUAAAUUUGCACCCAAAGUUUAUUUUCUUUCCUGGAGUUUUGAUUGGAGGUAAGAAUUUGAGUAACUAACACAGUUGUGUAGAAAGAUUUAGAAGACAAGAUGCAGGGUACCUGUUCCAUAGGGAUUCCCGGCCCAGCCUGCAGAUGUCUCACGGCUGCCCUACUCACUCCCAAGGCGUCUUUUUCUUCCAGAGCAAUCUUCGGGAUUGCUUAGGGAGUGACCAGAGCAGGAGCCAAUGAAAUACCCUGGAAAGCAUGGAUAAAGUGCCUACUUUAUUGGAAAUUUUUUUAACUAAACAGGAUAAUUCCCUUCCUAAUCCCCAUUUAGUGGAUAAAAUAGAUUUAAUUCUGAAUUAUCACCUUAUUAUCAAUUCAACUUUUCAAAUCUUGGUCAAAUAUUAUUCACAUUAAAGUCUCAAUUCCUUUGAACUACAAAAUCUUUUCACUGCCCCCAAAUUUGCAUUUCUGAGACAAAUGGGUCUCUUCACUUCCCUGAAAAAAUUCCAGUUUGUCAAUGCUGGUAAUGUGGUGUCCUUCCAUUGUCUGUUGGAGUGGGACUGAGAUUUCCUGAGAGAGCUUUGGGUGGGUUUGCUGACUAGUCAACCCUCCGUGUGCUCCCACAGGACAGGUCAGAAGUCAGCAGGCUUUUAGGUUUCAUCUGACAAGCUUCACCGGGAAACAUGUACGUAGUCAGAUCUCUGCUGUAUGAGGAGCUGGUCUUGCUGGUUGAACAGGAUGACACUGAAGCGUCAGUGUAACAGCCCUACAGAGUGGGUGUGUGUUGGUUAAAACACAGCCGCUGUGCAUGUGAAGUCUAUGGAAGCGGUCCCCUCUGCCCCGUCGCAUCCUCUCACUCAGCUCAGGACUUGAACAGCAGCAGCAUCUCACCUUGGCUUCGUUGCAUUAUACUCCAGGUGCUAUACGCUUUGUCUGUUCAUCUGGUACUCAUGGCCUCACUUUGAGGGCAGCACUAUUAUUUCCCCUAUUUAUAAAAAAGGAAACUGGAGGGUAAAGAACUGAGCAUCCAUACCAGGAACACAGGUCUAGGAUUUGGACCCAACCAACCAAGUGUAAACCUGGUCCUCAGGACCCACAGUUGUUGCGGUGACAGGCUGACCAGGUGGGCAGAGGGAGAACCUGGUGGGGCCAAGUGACCUCUCAGGCUCUGGCCUUGUGGUGACCCUUGACACGGACAGAGCUCACAGUCAGGGUAUAAUGGUCCUGACUUUUCUUCAAAGCUGUAUGAAGGGAGAAGCACCACACACGUAAACUGUCUGCUGCUCAGUGACAUUUUCUCACAUGCUUCCUCGGUGCACUUGGCAAGUUUGGGAAUAGCCGAUGUGACAGAUCCUGAACACAGACAAGAACCUCUUUCCGCCUUACCCUUUUCAAUUUUUCAAUCAGGUGGCAGUUCCUCUUUGUUUUGUAUCCAGUGACCUGAUCAUUCUCAUCAGUGAUGGUGCAACUCUCCUCCAGCCGCAGUGUCUGGAACUCAUCAAGGUGACCUAGGCGGACAUACCUGCAAACAGGGUUUUUUGUCAAUCAGUAAACCCCUGUAAAUCAGACUCAUAAACCAAAGGGUUUUGGAAAUCUCUGACACUGGAAAGCUGACAAGUAGAGAAUAAAAAGGAUAAAGUUCUCAUCUCUACAGAAGUGAGAAAAAAACAACCCACCUCUGUGGACUUCAUUCAUCAUUACCACAGUCUGUAUCUCCUUUUAUUUUUUCUAUUUAUGUUUAACUUUGUCUUAUUCCAAGAAGCAUUGUAGGCAAUAUAUGAGAAUUGGAGAAAUGCAAGAUUCUAAUGCUACCCUGUAGGGCCUGGGCCUUGCUUGCUCAGCAAAAGCCCCCAGGCCCAUUGCAACCAUGUGUCCUUCUGGCUUCCUGCUGGGCAGGGAGCCCAGCUGCUGGGAUUUGUAACGAUCUGGGCCUGGCCAGCCUGGAUCCCCCCUUAUCCCACGAGAAGAACAUCGAGUCUUACAGGAAGACAGAGCCCCUCCACGUGAGCUACUGUUCCUGGGAACACUGGUCGUACCAAGGACAGCCCUAUGGCAAGCAUGCAGCCUUUGUUUCUCUGCUUACUUAAGCAAACUUCUCUUAGGGGGCGGUUGCAGGUGCACACUUCUGUCCAGCCAGCUGCCACUGGACACUCCUGUAAGUAGGACCCAGUAAACCUAUAUGUCUCGUUCACAGUCUCCGGGUCAUUUCUUUGGUCUCUCGGUGCGAUAUCCUGCCACCUUAGCCCAGCUGGGCUUGCGGCCUAACAUACCCAGUAUCAGUUAAGAGGGGAAUAUUUGUCUUAGGAUAAUGAGGAAGGAAAUGAGAGAACAUGGGUUAUGGCCAGUUGCCAAAAGAAAGCAGUGAUGGAAAAUGCAAAAACAAAAUAGCCUUGACCAAAAUGAGAGUAACUGGAAAACAAAAAUAUAUGCACUCACCAUUCCUACAGAUUAGGGUUCACUGUAUGCCAAAUAUUUCUGAAAUCAAAAUAUAGAAUGCCGAGACCACUUCUGGGCCUGAGUGUCUUUUUAUAUCUUUUGGCCAUGUGUGUACAUGUGCAUCUGCACAUGUGUUUGUCUUCUCUUUGGGUUGAGACAUUCUCAAAUAUUGGCAGGUUAACAAAAAUACAUACUGAUCUUCAGAAGUCAAGGGGAGUGAUGACAUUUAUGUUUUUACCUCAUGGAGUGGCAUCAAAUUAACUAAGAUUAUGCAUGAAAUGACUGGGAUUCUGAUACUGGACUGCACACAUUUCUCACUUGAUUAUAGCUGGGAUGUGGUUGAAUGGUUUGGAAAGUUUGAUCCUUUCAGGUAUUGCUUUUAGGAUGUUAGGUGAGACUAAAGCAGUCCUAAAUCUAGACUAAUUAUUCUACUGAGGCUAGACACUUCUGAAUGUCUCCCCAUUGGCGCACGAACCAUGACACUUUCCAUUCUGGCUAGUGGCAGGAGGCAGUCUGCAGGAGUGCCGGGCACCGUUCCCUCUGAUCCUUUAGUUGGCUUUUCCCUUCAUGUGCAUGUGCCAGCCACCCUCAGCUGAACCCUUGAGGAGCGACAUGUCUCCGGAGUUCUCCUAUAUCAGAAAUGAC
rnacentral:lncRNA from 1 species